rnacentral:antisense_RNA from 1 species
CACCCAACGUGGCAUGCGACAUAGGCGCAACAAGGUCGGAAUUGGAACAGGGGCCGACCGAAGCGUACGUUGGGGUAGCAGGGGGCCGGUAGUCGGGGGACUACCGGCCUUGCAAUC